rnacentral:rRNA from 1 species
GAUGAACGCUGGCGGCAUGCUUUACACAUGCAAGUCGAACGGUAACAGGUUAAGCUGACGAGUGGCGAACGGGUGAGUAAUGCAUCGGAACGUGCCCGGUCGUGGGGGAUAACGCAGCGAAGGCUGCGCUAAUACCGCAUACGAUCUGAGGAUGAAAGCGGGGGACCGUAAGGCCUCGCGCGAUCGGAGCGGCCGAUGUCAGAUUAGGUAGUUGGUGGGGUAAAGGCUCACCAAGCCAACGAUCUGUAGCUGGUCUGAGAGGACGACCAGCCACACUGGGACUGAGAAACGGCCCAGACUCCUACGGGAGGCAGCAGUGGGGAAUUUUGGACAAUGGGCGAAAGCCUGAUCCAGCAAUGCCGCGUGCAGGAAGAAGGCCUUCGGGUUGUAAACUGCUUUUGUACGGAGCGAAAAGGUCUCCUCUAAUACAGGGGGCUCAUGACGGUACCGUAAGAAUAAGCACCGGCUAACUACGUGCCAGCCGCCGCGGUAA